rnacentral:rRNA from 1 species
CACGUAGGGGCCAAGCGUUGUCCGGAUUUAUUGGGCGUAAAGAGCGUGUAGGCGGCUUGGCAAGUCUGCUGUGAAAACUCGAGGCUCAACCUCGAGCUGUCGGCGGAAACUGCUUGGCUAGAGUCCGGAAGAGGAGAGUGGAAUUCCUGGUGUAGCGGUGAAAUGCGCAGAUAUCAGGAAGAACACCUAUGGCGAAGGCAGCUCUCUGGGACGGUACUGACGCUGAGACGCGAAAGCGUGGGGAGCGAACAGG